AUUGAACGCUGGCGGAAUGCUUUACACAUGCAAGUCGAACGGCAGCACGGGGGCAGCCCUGGUGGCGAGUGGCGAACGGGUGAGUAAUACAUCGGAACGUGCCUGGUCGUGGGGGAUAACGUAGCGAAAGUUACGCUAAUACCGCAUACGAUCUGAGGAUGAAAGCGGGGGACCUUCGGGCCUCGCGCGAUCGGAGCGGCCGAUGUCAGAUUAGGUAGUUGGUGGGGUAAAGGCCUACCAAGCCGACGAUCUGUAGCUGGUCUGAGAGGACGACCAGCCACACUGGGACUGAGACACGGCCCAGACUCCUACGGGAGGCAGCAGUGGGGAAUUUUGGACAAUGGGCGCAAGCCUGAUCCAGCCAUUCCGCGUGCAGGACGAAGGCCUUCGGGUUGUAAACUGCUUUUGUACGGAACGAAAAGGCUCUGGCUAAUACCUGGGGCUCAUGACGGUACCGUAAGAAUAAGCACCGGCUAACUACGUG
rnacentral:rRNA from 1 species